GGGCCCGUCGUACGCUUGCUGCUGACUGACUGAGUGCCAGCAGCCGCGGGUGGGUGCAGAUGAUUGGGGUGAAGUCUGUAACAAGGUAACCUCAGUCAGUCAAGAUCGUGAACUAAGGUAACCUCAGUCAGUCAAGUCGUAACAAGGUAACCUCAGUCAGUCAAACCCCAGUCAUCUGCCCCACCCGCGGCGGCUGGCACUCAGUAGUCAAAUCACUAGUGC
rnacentral:rRNA from 1 species